UCUUCUUAACAUCCUUCUUCUUUUUUGGUGAUCCUGGUUCAUCAUCCUACAAAGGCAUAAGGCAUAAAAAUCCUGUGCUCCAGAGCUUUCAAGCCUUCUCCUUCUCUUUCUCCUUCUUUAAGUCUUUAUCAGGUUUCUUCUUCAUCACCUUUAGAGCUCGGUGGAAGAACUGCUUCUUCAGAAGCCUACCACAAAAACCAGAAAUGCACCACUAACCUACAAAGUAGUCUACCCGAUGUCCCAUCAUGUUGGUGGACUUUGUGGGACAGUUAAAC